CCUACGGGUGGCAGCAGUGAGGAAUAUUGGUCAAUGGACGAGAGUCUGAACCAGCCAAGCCGCGUGAAGGAUGACUGCUCUAUGGGUUGUAAACUUCUUUUAUAAAGGAAUAAAACGAGGCACGUGUGCCUUUUUGCAUGUACUUUACGAAUAAGGAUCGGCUAACUCCGUGCCAGCAGCCGCGGUAAUACGGAGGAUCCGAGCGUUAUCCGGAUUUAUUGGGUUUAAAGGGAGCGUAGGCGGUUUGUUAAGUCAGAUGUGAAAGUUUGCGGCUCAACCGUAAAAUUGCAAUUGAUACUGGCAGACUUGAGUACAGUUGAGGUAGGCGGAAUGCGUGGUGUAGCGGUGAAAUGCUUAGAGAUCACAAAGAACCCCGAUUGCGAAGGCAGCUUACUAAACUGUGACUGACGUUGAGGCACGAAAGUGUGGGUAGCAAACAGGAUUAGAUACCCGGGUAGUC
rnacentral:rRNA from 1 species